rnacentral:rRNA from 1 species
CCUACGGGGGGCAGCAGUGGGGAAUAUUGCACAAUGGGCGCAAGCCUGAUGCAGCCAUGCCGCGUGUGUGAAGAAGGCCUUCGGGUUGUAAAGCACUUUCAGCGGGGAGGAAGGCGGUGAGGUUAAUAACCUCAUCGAUUGACGUUACCCGCAGAAGAAGCACCGGCUAACUCCGUGCCAGCAGCCGCGGUAAUACGGAGGGUGCAAGCGUUAAUCGGAAUUACUGGGCGUAAAGCGCACGCAGGCGGUCUGUCAAGUCGGAUGUGAAAUCCCCGGGCUCAACCUGGGAACUGCAUUCGAAACUGGCAGGCUAGAGUCUGGUAGAGGGGGGUAGAAUUCCAGGUGUAGCGGUGAAAUGCGUAAAGAUCUGGAGGAAUACCGGUGGCGAAGGCGGCCCCCUGGACAAAGACUGACGCUCAGGUGCGAAAGCGUGGGGAGCAAACAGGAUUAGAUACCCCAGUAGUC